UGUUCAGGAUACAAAGGACAAAUACUCUCCUGCUGCGUUGAGCCUGUAUUGAUCAGCGAGUUUGGUGUCUGGUGAAGAGGCCUCUGUGCCUCUAGGCUGAGAACCCCGUGGAGUCAUCAGUCACAACAGAGGACACAACAGCAAACAGGACACAGUAAGCACCCAAACCCUCUGGAAAGGAGUGUCUCGGCUGGGCUGAAAGCACCCUGGAGAGAUGGAGAAUUGCUUGGCACCCUGCAUAUACCCCAGGCUUCUUGGAGGGUAUUUCUAUGCUGUGACAGCCUGAGGACUGUAAACACACAAGACAUCAUCCCAAGGAGAACUGAGCCACCACACUUGCUCUGACCGCCUCAGAAAAGCAUGAGCCUGCACAAAACUGAGAGGAAUAACAAUUAAGCCAUUGCCAGCGAAAAUCCUUAUUUGGCACCACAGAGCUGUUUGUUCGGAUAGUGCAAAUGUGCACCAUUAGCAGCAUGAAAGCAAGGUCGGCCCAUCAACGAGAGGAAGAACACACUGAGGUAAGCACAUGGCUGGAGUGCAGGUUGAGGCCUGCUGGCCCUGAGCCAGAGAGGCCACACAGCAACCAGGAGAUGACGAGAGUCAGUCGGAGGAGUAAGAAAGCAAGCGGAACUGUGUGUGGCUCUUUAAAGUCUGGGAAAAGUCACACUUCUUAGGAUUGACCUGACCAAUGAGAAAGGUGGAAUUUCUGUGUGGAAAAUUCCUCUGUGAGGAGUUUUAUGGCUCUUUGUGAUUAAAAUGGGCCUGGUGGGUUUGUGUCCAUUUAUACUCCGAUUAAUACAACAAACACACACUGCAUUCUAUGUGGAGGUGAGCUACAUGAAAGUGUGAGUAGUUAAAUGAGUAUUAAUUACAUAAGAGACACGAUAUGGGUAGGGUUACAUUAACUAGUAAUUCACUCAUAAAGAGUGCAUAAAACAACAUACAAAGCAAGAUACACUGUACAAGACAGUUAUAAUCACACACACAAUGUUCCUUUAUUCAACAGUUCGUCUAUAAUGCAGGAAAGUCUGAUUAAAGGACUAUGGGUUUUUCCUAUGGCCUCUGCUUUUCCACGUGACAACAUUCUUUAGAGCAAAAAAAAAAAAAAAACAUCUUAUCAGUUGGCAUCCAUGGUCACUGAGGCCUUUCUUGCCCAAGUUGGUCUUUUGGGGGAUGAGUCCACAAACCCUAGAGCGAGUUUUAAAGAUUAUUUGUUGAAUAUAACAAAUAAUUGUUUCUGAUUUGUCUGUCGUUACUUGUAUCUGAAAUAAUCUCAUCUGGUUUGGCAACAGACUGAGGGAAGUAAAUGCAAUAAGAAAUGUAUUUGUUUAUUCCAAAUAUUUAUUCCUCAGAAGUACUAAAAGAAUCAUUAAUGCCACAGUUAAGAAGCUAGAAUCAUUAAGAGGAAUCAUUAAAUUCCUUACGAUUCUCAUCCCUGGAGUUAAGAAGCCUAGCCAAAACCAUUAAUUACAAAGGCAGUGUCCACUUAAAUUUGGCGAUCAGAAACUCAGCAGAAUAUACAUAGACAUGACUUGCUGAAAAAUAGAUAAAAAUAGCAUAUCAGAACACAGACAGCUUCUGUCUUUUCAGCCAAAAUAAUUUGUGCUAUGAAUCAUCUGCGUAGCUCUCGGUGACGUCACGUGACAUGCAGCGAGGCAUACUCUUUCCUGCAGAGAGACAGAAAGUGUGGGAGAGGAAGAGACAGCGAGAGAAAGAAUCAGAGGGAGUGGGAAGAAGAGUGAUCCGAAGAAGCUUCUGCCUGACUGGCUGCACAUCCACGUGGCCCGCCUGCUUCCAUGCGCCAGCUGCACUUCUCUAAUGCUCAUCACUUAUGGAGCAGCUCUUAUCUUCCAGUUACAAUAUUAGGAGGUUGAAGGAGUGUUUGUUUGUGCUUGGCGCAUUCCAGAUGAGCUGGGUUUCUCACUGGCUCUAAGAUGCAGCAUCAAAGACUAUGCUCUGGAUUAUGCAGAGACACCCAUGGGCCUUUUUUUUUCAGCCCAGGACCCCCCUCUCUCUGUUUGUGUGUAAGUCAGUCAAACACAGACAUGAUGUUUUUUUCAGGGUGAUUAAGUAGUAGGAGCUUCUGCCCAUCUUAUAUUUAUGUGGCUUUUUUUGCCAUCCACACAGUGUCUUAACCCUUUGUAGAUUGUUUCUUUGCCAUCUUGUGCUUUCUGCAUUGUUUGUCAAGCAUGUUUGAAGAAGGAUAAUGCACCAUAAUUGAACUGACAAUGCCCCUUUUCU